GACGAACGCUGGCGGCGUGCUUAACACAUGCAAGUCGAACGGAAAGGCCCUGCUUGCCGGGUACUCGAGUGGCGAACGGGUGAGUAACACGUGGGUGAUCUGCCCUGCACUUCGGGAUAAGCCUGGGAAACUGGGUCUAAUACCGGAUAGGAGCCAUUUUUAGUGUGAUGGUUGGAAAGUUUUUUUCGGUGUAGGAUGAGCUCGCGGCCUAUCAGCUUGUUGGUGGGGUAAUGGCCUACCAAGGCGGCGACGGGUAGCCGGCCUGAGAGGGUGGACGGCCACAUUGGGACUGAGAUACGGCCCAGACGCCUACGGGAGGCAGCAGUGGGGAAUAUUGCACAAUGGGCGCAAGCCUGAUGCAGCGACGCCGCGUGGGGGAUGACGGCCUUCGGGUUGUAAACGCCUUUCGCUAGGGACGAAGCUUUUUGUGACGGUACCUAGAGAAGAAGCACCGGCUAACUACGUG
rnacentral:rRNA from 1 species